ACAACAUUGGGAUGUGGCUCCAGCAUUUUCAUGACUUGCAGCUCCUGCACCAGAUCUGAGCGCUCCUUAUCUGAUGCAUUCUCUUUCAGCGUCUUCACAGCCACCACCGUAGUGCCUUCCCGCCCUUCAUUCAUAAAUGUUUGAGUCCCGGUCCCAGCCCUCGUAGCGAUUGCUGUGGGCACGGGGACCCUGCCACUGCUGCAGCACCAUAGGCUCCUCCAACCCGAUGCCACCGGAUGACUCCUUGUGCUACAACAACCAAAGACUAUCAGAUUUACUGCAGACUCGUUCCUUCAUUUAGCUUCAUAUUAACAAGAUAAAUAUUUAAAGACUUUUUUAAACAAUUUUGGUUGUUCUAUAUUUAUGUAUGGAGGAUAUGUUUGAUAAUAAUACUUAAUGUAACAGGGAUCUGUAGAAAGAUCUAUAUGGUGUCAAUGGUUAUAAAAAGUGUGUGUACUUGC